UCUCUAGCUAUGUUGAGACGCGGCAUACGGCUCAGUAACACGUGGCUAACCUACCCUCAGGACAGGGACAAACCCGGGAAACUGGGGCUAAUACCUGAUAGGUGAGAAUGCCUGGAAUGGUUUCUCACUCAAAGGGCUUUGGAAACAUGCUUCCACUGUCGCCUGGGGAUGGGGCCGCGACCGAUCAGGCUGUUGGUGAGGUAACGGCUCACCAAACCUAUAACCGGUACGGGCCGUGAGAGCGGUAGCCCGGAGAUGGGUACUGAGACAAGGACCCAGGCCCUACGGGGCGCAGCAGUCGCGAAAACUCCGCAAUGCACGAAAGUGUGACGGGGCUACCCCGAGUGCCAUCCGCUGAGGAUGGCUUUUCCUUGGUAUAACUAGCCAGGGGAAUAAGGAGAGGGCAAGACUGGUGUCAGCCGCCGCGGUAAUACCAGCUCUCCGAGUGGUAGGGAUGAUUAUUGGGCUUAAAGCGUCCGUAGCCGGCUUAGCAAGUCUCCUGUUAAAUUCAGCGACCUAAUCGUUGAGCCGCGGGAGAUACUACUAGGCUAGGAGGCGGGAGAGGUCGACGGUACUUCUGGGGUAGGGGUGAAAUCCUAUAAUCCCGGGAGGACCACCAGUGGCGAAGGCUGUCGACUAGAACGCGCUCGACGGUGAGGGACGAAAGCUGGGGGAGCGAACCGGAUUAGAUACCCGGGUAGUCCCAGCUGUAAACGAUGCGGGCUAGGUGUUGGGGUGGCUACGUGCCACUUCAGUGCCGCAGGGAAGCCAUUAAGCCCGCCGCCUGGGGAGUACGGCCGCAAGGCUGAAACUUAA
rnacentral:rRNA from 1 species